rnacentral:rRNA from 1 species
AUUGAACGCUGGCGGCAGGCCUAACACAAGCAAGUCGAGCGGAUGAAGGGAGCUUGCUCUCUGAUUCAGCGGCGGACGGGUGAGUAAUGCCUAGGAAUCUGCCUGAUAGUGGGGGACAACGUUUCGAAAGGAACGCUAAUACCGCAUACGUCCUACGGGAGAUAGCAGGGGACCUUCGGGCCUUGCGCUAUCAGAUGAGCCUAGGUCGGAUUAGCUAGUUGGUGAGGUAAUGGCUCACCAAGGCGACGAUCCGUAACUGGUCUGAGAGGAUGAUCAGUCACACUGGAACUGAGACACGGUCCAGACUCCUACGGGAGGCAGCAGUGGGGAAUAUUGGACAAUGGGCGAAAGCCUGAUCCAGCCAUGCCGCGUGUGUGAAGAAGGUCUUCGGAUUGUAAAGCACUUUAAGUUGGGAGGAAGGGCAUUAACCUAAUACGUUAGUGUUUUGACGUUACCGACAGAAUAAGCACCGGCUAACUUCGUGCC